CCUACGGGAGGCUGCAGUGGGGAAUAUUUCGCAAUGGGCGAAAGCCUGACGCAGCGACGCCGCGUGAGGGAUGAAGGUAUUCGGAUCGUAAACCUCUGUCAGCAGGGAAGAACGGACACUGUGCUAAUCAGCAGUGAAUUGACGGUACCUGCAAAGGAAGCAACAGCUAACUCCGUGCCAGCAGCCGCGGUAAUACGUAGGGGGCAAGCGUUAUCCGGAUUUACUGGGUGUAAAGGGAGCGUAGACGGGAGUGCAAGGCUGGAGUGAAAGGCGGGGGCUGAACCCCCGGACCGCCCUUGAAAAUGUACGGUUGGAGUGCAGGAGAGGUAAGUGGAAUUUCUAGUGUAGCGGUGAAAUGCGUAGAUAUCACGCAGAACUCCGAUUGCGAAGGCAGCAUACCGGCGCCCAACUGACGCUGAAGCACGAAAGCGUGGGUAUCGAACAGGAUUAGAUACCCGAGUAGUC
rnacentral:rRNA from 1 species